GUCGGUAUCGAUUAGGGGUUAAAUCACUUCGUUGUGGUCUACAUGGCUCCGAAGAGCCGCUGGUUCGAUUCCAGCUACCGACA
rnacentral:tRNA from 1 species